UGCGUAGGGUGCGAGCGUUAAUCGGAAUUACUGGGCGUAAAGCGUGCGCAGGCGGUUUUGCAAGCCGGGUGUGAAAUCCCCGGGCUCAACCGGGGAAUGGCAUUCGGGACUGCAAGGCUGGAGUGCGGCAGAGGAGACUGGAAUUCCGGGUGUAGCAGUGAAAUGCGUAGAUAUCAAGAGGAACACCAGUGGCGAAGGCGAGUCCCUGGACGAUUCCUGACACUGAGGCACGAAAGCUAGGGGAGCAAACAGG
rnacentral:rRNA from 1 species